GGCGCCGUGGCCGAGUGGUUAGGCAGAACUCUGCAAAAGUUCGUACAGCGGUUCAAAUCCGCUCGGUGCCUCCA
rnacentral:tRNA from 1 species